GGCCAUCACGGCGGUGGCUGGAGAACAGGAGGUGCAGGAAUAAUCUAUUGCCAGGUUGAUGAUCAAGUCAUGCAGAUACACAGUAUAUUAUCCGAAUGCCCUACACUCUGGCGAUCGAUCCCCUGUAUUCAGCCUGAGCUGAGGCUGGAUAUCGUGCUUUCUUGUGGUCAGUCCUUCCGAUGGCAGGAGAAGAGUCCCGGGCACUGGACGGGAGUCUUGGCAGGCCGUGUGUGGACUUUGACCCAGACCCAGGAUCACAUCUGGUACCGGACGUAUUGCAAAGACGCAGAUAACGUCCCCCAAGUGCCAAUGGGCCACAGAAAGAGGAAAGGCCCGUCUGCAAGGCCGGUCGGUGUUAAAAUGAAAAAGAAGAAUAUUGCAAAAAGUAGACUUAAAAGUGACGAGGGGGACGUCCACGAAACUGAGAGGGUGUUUCCUGAAGAGAAGAAAGAGCCAAUGCAGUGUGCGCGGCAGAUAAACGAUACCACACCUGAACUAUUGAAAGGGGAGUCAGGAACGGCAGACCAAGAGGAGUCCAUGAUCUUGAGCGACUAUUUUCAGUUGCAUGUGCGGCUGUCCGACCUAUACCCUCACUGGAUGCACGUUGACAAACACUUUGAGCGAGUGGCGAAGGAUUUCCCUGGUAUCCGCAUCCUACGUCAAGAUCCCACUGAGUGCCUCUUCUCUUUCAUCUGUAGCUCCAACAACCACAUCUCGCGCAUCGCUGGAAUGGUGGAACGUCUGUGCCAGACAUACGGCGAGAGGCUAUGCCAGCUGGAUUCCUGCACCUACCACUCCUUCCCCACACUGCAGGCACUGGCAGGAAAUGAUGUAGAAAAGCGGUUGCGAGAACUGGGAUUUGGAUACAGAGCAAAGUUCAUCAGCCAGACCGCCAAGAUGAUACUGGAGAAGCAUGGUCCUGCUUGGCUGGAUUCCCUUCGGGAGACAGCAUAUGAGGAAGCAAAGCGUGCCCUGUGCACGUUAUCUGGCGUGGGGGCAAAGGUGGCUGACUGCGUUUGUUUGAUGUCUCUGGAUAAGACAGGUGUGAUUCCAGUGGACACACACGUCUGGCAGAUUACAAAGCGCGAUUACAUCUCCCACCUGGGGGCAGGUCAGAAGAGUCUCACUGACAAAGUGUAUCGAGAAAUCGGUGAUUUUUAUCGCAGACUGUGGGGUCCUUUUGCUGGUUGGGCACACUCUGUUCUGUUUUCAGCAGACUUGAAGAAGUUCCAAGCGUACAAGUCCAAGCAAGAACAGCAGCAGGGCAAUAAACCCAAGAGAUGACAGCAGAGCCUACUAUUUGCCUAACAUAACAUAGAGAAUAAUGUUUUAUACUCCACAAUGAUUGUAUUCUUGUGACUGGUUCCAUUUAUCUUUCGAUAGCUGUGAACAACGCUCGGCAUGACUUGGAUAGACACAACAUGCUGGAGCAACUCAGCGGGUUAGGCAGCAUCUCUGGAGAAAAUGGUUAGGUGACGUCUCGGGUUGGAUCCCUUCCUCCUAAGCAUGACUUGGUUGGUUACACAUUCUCAUUUACGUCGGGGUCUGAAGAAGGAUCUCGAUCUGAAACGUCGCCUAUCCGUGUUCUCCGGGGAUGCUGCCUGACCCACUGAGUUACUCCAGCACUUUGUGUCCUUUUGUGUCAGGAGUUUCAAGUUUCACUCCAGAAAUAUUAGGACAAAAUUCUAAUCUGAUAUUCCAGCCAAGUUGUACAUGCCAGAUUUUUUAAUCUUUCAGAUAAAACACAUAACCAAGGCACCAUCUGCCCUGACAGGGGCAUAACAUAUUUUGAGGAAGGACAGGGCAGUUAUUGCCCAUGUCCUGGCCAAUAUUUAUCCUCGUGCAUCAGCACUAAAACUGAACCCCAUAAUUAAAUUAUCAGGAUCACACCUAAUUAAUGUUUGUAGUUUUGUUUCCUUUAUUAUCGCUAAUACAAUAGUGAUCACAAUUCUAGAAGUACAUCAUCAGCUGUAAAAUACUCAGUUUAAAAUAUCAAGCACUCCAACCGGUCCAUGUUCUGCAGGAGAUUCCACAAGCAUCAAUGUGAUCUUGGACAAUCUGCUUUAUCGUUGUUGACAGUGGGAUAAUUAUUUGUCAGGACGUCAGUGAUAACUCCUGUAAAAUAGAGUGGGAAGAUCUCUUGCACCUACCUACCUGUGACAAUAGACGAUGACUUGGUUUAAUGUCUAAUGUGAGAUGUAGCACCUCUUUCAGUGCAACGCUCUCUCUGUUGUGCUCCAGAUUGUAAACCUAGAUUUUGUGCUGUUGUCACUUUAAUGAGAUUCCAUAUCAUUAUUUGUAACUGUGGAAUCAAAUUGUCUUUGAAUAGGAAGUUUGUGGGGAAAAUAUAUAUUUGACGAUGAAUUUGAUACAUGUGUAUUAGAUGCAUAAUAAUGAUUUUAUUAAGACAUUUCUCUGAAAACUCUUUGAUGUGAUAUUUUGGUAAAUCUAAUAAAAAUUUGUGAUGAUUAA